rnacentral:rRNA from 1 species
ACGGGGAGCAGCAGGCGCGAAACCUUUACACUGCACGCCRGUGCGAUAAGGGGACCCCGAGUGCGAGGGCAUACAGUCCUCGCUUUUCGUGACCGUAAGGUGGUAGGUGAAUAAGAGCUGGGCAAGACCGGUGCCAGCCGCCGCGGUAAUACCGGCAGCUCGAGUGAUGGCCAAUAUUAUUGGGCCUAAAGCGUCCGUAGCUGGCCGAACAGGUCCGUCGGGAAAUCCGCUCGCUCAACGAGCGGACGUCCGGCGGAAACCAGUCGGCUUGGGACCGGAAGACCCGAGGGGUACGUCCGGGGUAGGAGUGAAAUCCUGUAAUCCUGGACGGACCACCGGUGGCGAAAGCGCCUCGGGAGAACGGAUCCGACAGUGAGGGACGAAAGCUUGGGUCACGAACCGGAUUAGAUACCCGGGUAGUCCAAGCUGUAAACGAUGCUCGCUAGGUGUGGCACUGGCUACGAGCCAGUGCUGUGCCGUAGGGAAGCCGAGAAGCGAGCCGCCUGGGAAGUACGUCCGCAAGGAUGAAACUUAAAGGAAUUGGCGGGGGAGCAC